CAAUAGCGUAUAUUAAAGUUGUUGCAGUUAAAAAGCUCGUAGUUGGAUUUCUGGUGGGAGCGAUCGGUCUGGCGCUUAGCGCGAGUACUUGUAUCGUCUCCGGCCAUCCUUGGGGAGAGUCUGUCUGGCAUUAGGUUGUCGGGCAGAGGAUCCUCAUCGUUUACUGUGAAAAAAUUAGAGUGUUCAAAGCAGGCUUAUGCCGUUGAAUAUAUUAGCAUGGAAUAAUAAGAUAGGACUUUGGUACUAUUUUGUUGGUUUGCGCACCAAAGUAAUGAUUAAUAGGGACAGUUAGGGGUAUUCGUAUUCCGUUGUCAGAGGUGAAAUUCUUGGAUUUACGGAAGACGAACUACUGCGAAAGCAUUUACCAAGGAUGUUUUCAUUAA
rnacentral:rRNA from 1 species